rnacentral:lncRNA from 1 species
UCUCUGAGAUCAGCUCUGUGAAUGAAUCAUGGAUCGUGGUUGUUCGGAUUGUCUGUGUUUUGUUUGUUUGUGAUGUCUCUAGAUAUUUUUAGGUUGUAAGCCAAUCAAACAUUUUAGGAUUAGCCAAUUUUAUAUCAUAUUUUUUAUUUGUUCAUGAUGUCAUUUGCUUUUAUUAUUUUUCCUAUACAUAGUAUAUGUUUCUUUCAUCAUUUUCACUUGCACAUUUCUUCCAAAUAGUGUUGUCAAACUCCAAAAGAUUGUCAUGACACCAAGAUUUGAUAACAUCUAUGAAAUCAACUCGAUCAAAGAAUCAUGAAGAGAGUUGUUCGAAUAAUUCAUGUUUGGUUUGUUAAUAAUAUCAAUUGUCAUAGACACCCGUUCUAUCUAGAUAUGAUUCCCAUUGAUGCGCCUAUUUGUAUAUAAUGAAUGUAAAAAAAUGACAUUUUAAAUUAAUCUAAUUUUUGUAUAUAAUUCAUGCCAUUAUG